rnacentral:lncRNA from 1 species
ACUGUUUUUCUGUUCUAUAAGGAAGAAUGCUGUCCUCCUAUAACUUCUUUUAGUUUUUAAGACAACAAGCAGUGAUACAAAAAAUUAAAGGAAGUAGUGUAACAGGUUCUAUGUCAACAUGCGCAAACUGGGCUCUAAUGGUACAGCUAGUGGUUGUCCUCUAUCUAGAGGAGGCUCCAGGUUCAAACCUUGGGAGGUUUUUGCCCAAGUGUUUGCCCUGGGUAAUUCUCAAGUCGGUGGUGCUCAAAUGUUAUUCCAAAAAAAAAAAAUCCAACAUAUAUCUUAUCAAAUUGGCACUUGAACCUGUCGUCACUUCAGUUAUAUAUAUGCUUACCACUUGCGGCCUGAUAUCAAGUUGUUACCUGCACCAUAACAUAAUAAGAUAUUGUUUUCAGAACAAAAUCAGUGAAUUAUGAACUCACCAUGGGCAACAAAUUCAGAAGAACAAGUCACUUUCAUCUCUUUUUCUUGAUGUGCCGUGGUUACGAUUGGUUGCAUUGUUCAAGGAUAUAAUCCGGUCCCAAAAGAGGUGUAACUAAAGAUAACAGGUCAAAUAUUGUAGUGAAUGAAAAUAGAAAAUGUUAGAGAGGGAAGUGGAAGGAUGAGAGAAGGGGACAACGUGGGUUCAUCCAAGGAGUGUAAAAAUAACUAAAUCAAAAUGUCACUUUAUUUUUGUUGAACUGAUUCUGUUAUAUGUAUGGAUGCUAAACCACGUUAAAUCACACCAAACCCUAAUUCUUACAGAAAUAGCCUUAUCUUUUCUCAGUAGAAAAGCAGCCUAUUUCAAUUCAAGUUAGAUAUCAAGGGGCUCCUAGACUAAUGCAAAGAUAAUUAAAGACCUAAAAUAGACCCAACACUUCUUUUGCAGCUUCCUGGGGCUCCUAGACUAACGCAAAGAUAAUUAAAGACCUAAAAUAGACCCAACACUUCUUUUGCAGCUUCCUGGAAAUGGCAGAACAA